GGAGUUGGUUUUUUUUUGGAAUUGAAGAGUCGCCACCUAAUGAUUAAGUGCAUUAGGACACCAAGANAAUCUUUGAAAUUUCAUCGUGAUGGGGAUAGAUCAUUGCAAUUGUUGGUCUUCAACGAGGAAUUCCUAGUAAGCGCGAGUCAUCAGCUCGCGUUGACUAC
rnacentral:rRNA from 1 species